UUAUUUCGUCAUAUUUAUAUGUUCUCCUACUUGCUUCUCAUUGUUGACUAUAUAAACCGAACAUGUAUACUAUAAGUGUGUCAUGGACACCUCAUUUCUAUUCUGCUUUAUGUAUUGGACUGACAAUACAUCUUUCUCUUACAGAGCCACUAAGGACCUCGAAUCGAGUUGAGGCCAUGACAAACGAAAGGGAGGCAAUUGCAUGGAGGAUAUGACAAAUUGUGAGAUUGCAUUCGCAUGGAGGAUAUGGCAACUUGCAGGGCUUCAUUUACACAUAUGCAUAAGGGAGUUUUUGCAUUGACUAAUUUUUGAAAUUUUCGAGAUAUGUAAAUACCCUUUUUUGUAAUUGACUUUUGAGGUUAUGUGACUAUUGAAUUGUCAUAUAAUUUUGGGGCCAUGUAAAGGACCUAUUUAUGGGACAUGGAAAAGACCUAUUUAUAAGGGCAUGUAAAGGGCCUAAUUAUAGGGGCAUGUAUAUUUAUAGGGGUAUGUAAAGGACCUAAUUAUGGGGGCAUGUAAAGGACCUAUUUUGGGGUCAUGUAAAUGACCUAUUUUUUAGGUCAUAUAAAGGACCUAUUUAUGGAUAGUGGAAUCCAUUUAUAAUGAAAUGUAGAUUUACUAGGAAGUGACCUAUUGAUGCGGCAUGUAAAGUACUUGUUGUAAAGGCC
rnacentral:lncRNA from 1 species